rnacentral:rRNA from 1 species
CGAGUCUUAAUUGGGCGUUAAGUUGCAGGGUAUAGACCCGAAACCCGGUGAUCUAGCCAUGGGCAGGUUGAAGGUUGGGUAACACUAACUGGAGGACCGAACCGACUAAUGUUGAAAAAUUAGCGGAUGACCUGUGGCUGGGGGUGAAAGGCCAAUCAAACCGGGAGAUAGCUGGUUCUCCCCGAAAGCUAUUUAGGUAGCGCCUCGUGAAUUCAUCUCCGGGGGUAGAGCACUGUUUCGGCUAGGGGGCCAUCCCGGCUUACCAACCCGAUGCAAACUGCGAAUACCGGAGAAUGUUAUCACGGGAGACACACGGCGGGUGCUAACGUCCGUCGUGAAGAGGGAAACAACCCAGACCGCCAGCUAAGGUCCCAAAGUCAUGGUUAAGUGGGAAACGAUGUGGGAAGGCCCAGACAGCCAGGAUGUUGGCUUAGAAGCAGCCAUCAUUUAAAGAAAGCGUAAUAGCUCACUGGUCGAGUCGGCCUGCGCGGAAGAUGUAACGGGGCUAAACCAUGCACCGAAGCUGCGGCAGCGACACUCAGGUGU